rnacentral:rRNA from 1 species
AUGAGGUCCAAUAGCUCAACCGGGCUCUACCCGUUCUUCGGCUCCGCUGCUCCGUCGCCAACCAGCACGGCCCUCUCCAUCACCAGCGAUGUUUGGCAUCGGCGCCUUGGACAUCUCAGCCCCGAAGCUCUCUCUAGGCUAUCUGCACAUUUCCUUCCAGAUUGUAAUAAAUCCUCCCUCCCCCAUUCUGUGUGUGAGGCGUGUCAGUUAGGCAAGCAAGCUAGGUUACCAUUUGCUGCGUCCAAGUCAUUUACUUCCUUUCCAUUUGAAAUAAUACAUUGUGAUCUCUGGACGUCUCCCGUCCAAAGUUGCUCCGGAUUUGGUUAUUACUUGAUUAUAUUGGAUGAUUUUUCCCAU